rnacentral:lncRNA from 10 species
UACUGUGGUGACUUAGAGAUAUAAUGUGUUUACUCCAAAUAUUCUCUAGUGCUUCCUGAGCUCAUAACAAACCUGUAAAGGUCAUUUUUCUACACUUGUUCUUAGCCAAAAGGCGAAGAAGGGAUCAAGAUAUUUUUCUAAAUCCCCAUUUUACAGAAGAAAGUGAGGCUCAGAUAGGAAAAGUAACUGGCUCAUGGCAAAAAGCCAGAAAGUAGCAGAGAGAGUAUUUAUUUAUGCUCAGGACCUCUGUAAAUGUAAAUGUUUAUAAAAAGAUUUUGCUGUAGAAAUAAACCUCAAUGAUUUGGACUUCACUAACUUGGAAUGUAUAAUGUCCCUUGUAGAGACUAGCUUGAAAUUCCUCUUUUAAGAUAAAGUAAGCAUAAUUUCAGGGGAACUUUUUAAGCUAGUUAACACAUUUUAAGCACGGUGGGUAGCAUUUAUUGGCAUGCAAGCAAUGUAAAUGACUGCUACAAAUCACUCUGAUGUAUGCAUUUAAGCAAGUUCCCCCUGGACCCUUAGACAUGUGGACUUUUAACCACUGAGGAUUUUGUCAUUGAUGUUUUGUUUUGUUUUACAUGUUCUUAAAAAUUAAUAAAGCUGCAUGCAUUUUAUGCUGUCCUCAACUUUAUCUUCUGUACCUAAUUUCUAUGAGUCGGUAAGGCGUGCUUUGAAUAACUACUUUGCUAUGUGGCUAGGAAAUCAGGUAGCAUUUCUUCUUACACACACGCUCGAUAGUAAAAGACAGCUACCUUAUGAUCAGUUAAGCCUGAAUCUUUCAAAAUUCUUCGAGUUUAUAUAAAACCCAGAAUUCUCCAGCAGGAUGCUAUUGCAUACGGCACUAGUACCUCACAUUAAUAAUGAAUAUGUGUUGGGCCCUUGCUGAGUUUUGACUGUGUUCCAUACAUAAAGACAGCAUCCUCUGCCCUAGAGGCUUGGCAUAAAUUACCCAGAUUAAUCAAUAGAGAACAGGCCAGCAGAACAGAGAGUAGGAGAGAAAAACGCUAUUCUUCUAACUGUGGCUGUGCAAUAAUAUUGCUUAUUAUUGAGCAUGAUAUCCAAACUGCACGGAGCUGCUGUCAUGGAAAGAGAUAAUCAGCUUUGCAAUGUAAAAAUUGUGGAAUAUCAGCUCUGCUAUACAUUAGACUUUUUGAAAAGCAGACAUGCCCAACUCUCAUUGUUGACGGAGGGGAUCGGGGGUGGGGUCUGGCUAGGAAGUUUCUGAAAAGCCUUAGAGGCAAUUCUGAUGCAUACUGGCUGUUGUUAUCAACUGGAAAAUGGAAGCUACGUUCUCAAGAGUUGGAGAACCAGAGUGUUACCUUUUUAUUCACCAGGCCCAGGAUUGGCAGAGUUAGCAGUCCCACCUGAGCUUUGCUAUAAUAUUGAUACAAUGUCACACUCUUAAGGGUUGCAUUAGGGAAUUUACAAGGAAGGGCAUAAGGAAUUGUAGUAUUUUGUAAAGAUGUGUGAGCUUAUUUUCAGACUAGAGGCUUGGGUGAAUGAAAUUUUGUAUGUUGAGAGUAUUUUGCCAAAUUUUACCAAGCUAGCUUACUAACAAAUAUUGCUCCCCAAAGCCUUGAUCAGAGUUCCCAUACUAGGCUGUACAUUCAGUUCAUGAAAUGACCAAGUAAUCCCUUCUGGCUUGAUAGAAAUGGACCAUCCAGGAAGUGGAUUUUCUUACAAAUAUUGUACCUAUGACUUGUGUGGCUGUGUCAGUAAAAUAAGACCAGCAUGGGUCUGAGACUAGUACUGAGCUGUGAUACCUCAGAAACAUAGAGGAAAUAUUUAGCAUAUUAAGAGACAUGGAAGACAUAAACAUGGUUCACACUGAACUUUUUGAGAUGGAAACUCUAUUUCCCAAAACCAUAAAAAAUGCAUUAGGUGGAAUUAAUAGCAGAUUAGAUACUGCAGAAGAAAAAAUUAUCAUUACUUGAAGGCAUAGUAAUAGAAGCUAGUCAAAAUAAACCACAAAUAAGUUACUGAAAAAAAGUGAACAGUGCUAAGAGAGUUUUGGGACAACAUAAAACACCCUAACAUACAUGUAAUUGAAGUUCUGAAAGAUAAGGUGGGGAAGCAGAGAUAAGCAUUGGAAUAAAUAUAUCAUGGAUGAAAUUUUUCCAAAUUUGUUGAGAACUCCAAACUCACAAAUCCAAGAAGCUCAGCAAACCUCAAGCACACACUCACAAAAGUAGAAAACAACAUCAUAAUCAAGCUGCUUUAAAUCAGUGGCAGGUAGAAGAUUUUAAAAGUAUCCAGAUUACAGGGCUGUAUACAGAGAAGUAAAGAUAAACAGGGUAGCUAAUUUCUUGCUAGAAAAAAAAACAGAAAUCUGAAACCAGUGUAUCGUAUAAAACAUAAAGAGUAAAACCAUAAAAACUUCAGAGGAAAACAGGAAAUAUUUGUGACCUUGGGUUGGGCAAAUAUCUAUCUGAGAUUACAUGAAGAGACUGGAUAAUAAAAGAAAAAUUGAUCAACUUGAAUUCAUCAACAUUAAAAAUUUUUUCUUUGUUCAAAAGAGAUUGAUAAUUAAGUGAAAAGACAAGCAAGCCACAGCCUAGAGUAAACAUCUUCAAAGCACACACUUGGUAAAGAUCUUGUUUCCAGAAUUUAUCUUACAACUCAGAAAGAAGAUAAACAACCACAUAGUAAAGUGGGGAAAAUAUGUCAACACGUGUUCCACACAAGAAGAUAUAAAGAUGGUAAAUAAGCACAGGGGAAGAUGCUCACAAUCCAUGGGGAAAUAAAAAUUAAAAACACCAGGAGCUCCCAUGACAUGCCUGUUAGAAGGGACAAAAUUAAAAGGAGUGACAAGACCAAGUGCUGACAAGGAGGAAGGACAGUUGACACCCGCACACGUUGCUGGUGGUAAUGCAAUGAAACCGUUUGGCAGUUUCUUAUAAAGUUAAAAUAUAUAAUAUACACCAUAUGUAUGGGCUUCCUAGGGCUGCCAGAACAAAGUACCACAAAACAUCACACACAGGCUGGCUUAAACAACAUGCAUUUAUCAUCCUGCACUUCUAGGAUAGAGAGCUGAGAUCAAGGUGUCGACAGCAUUGGUUCCUUCCAUGAGCUGUGAAGAAGGAUCUGCCCAGGCCCUUUUCUGUUUUCUGGUGAUUCAUUGGCAUCUUUGUCAUCCCUUGGCUUUGAGACACACCUCCCCAAUCUCUGCUUGUAUGUUCACAUGGUGUUUGUCUGUCUCUAUGUCCAAAUAUCUUAUUUUUAUAAAGACAACAGUCAUACUGGGUUAGAGCUCACCCUAUUUAUCUCAUUUUAACUUGAUUAUCUGACAAACCCUAUUUUCAAAUAAAGUCACAUUGGCACUUACUGAGGGUGAGGACUUGAACAUCUUUGGGGUCACGAUUUAACCCAUCCUGCCAUAGAACCAAGCAAUUUCACACCCAGGUAUUUUUCCUCAAGGGGUUUUAUGAAGUUUAUAUGAUAUUAAAAUCUCAAUUGGUCCAACUAUUAUUUGUAGAAUUUUUACUAUACCAAGCCCUGCCCUUCAACUUGUACAUGCAGGUUGGAUGGGAAUAAAAAAUUGCUUUCUUCUGGCCUUCAACACAUUUAUUCAAAAUACACUGCAUUAUUUGCAUUGCGUAUGAUCCUGCUCAUGAGAAGCUUCCAGUCUAGAGGCACAUAUGAAAUGUGGUUCUCAAAACUUACAAUGCCAAACAGUACUUCCUGUGUAAUAAAAGUUGCAGAUAAGGUUUCUAGUACAUUCAGAAGAGCUGUAAACUGUUUUUACUUGAGGAGGAUCAGGGAUGGCAUUAUGAAAAAAGUGGCAUUUCAGCUCAACUUAAAAAUUGUGAACAAAGUAGUUAGAGGGAAAGGGAAUCCAGGCACAGAGAACAGGAAAAGUGAAGUGAAGGAGAAGGGAAAGUAAACAAAUACAUGCAAGAAACAGUCAACCACGGAUAGGCUGAAGCAAGCUGGGAGAGCACACUGCAGAGAGUGACGAAGCAAGCUUGAAAGGGCCAGGACGCCAGCCUGUGUUCUGGGAACAACAGGGACAAAAGGAGACAUAUUAAGUGGGAAAGUGACAGAAUUGGUGCCACUGCAGCAAGAUUAAUCUUGCACUAGGUGCAGAGUGAAUAGCUACUCGGGAGUCUGAGGCAGGAGAAUAGCUUGAACCCAGGAGGCAGAGGUUGCAGUGAGUCAAGACCACGCCAUUGCACUCCAGCCUGAGCAACGAGAGUGAAAUUCUGUCUCAGAAAUAAAUAAGUAAAUAAAUAAAUAAAUAAAUAAAUAGAAAGAAAUGAGAGAGCCACACAGGCAGCCACUCAGUGGGCUACUGAGUAAGUGGAGAUCCUGGCUAGCCAGGGGCUCAGUCCAUCCAUUUGGUGAGGUUUCCUGUUCAGAUAGCUAGCCUGCCAGAAGGCAAUUUUCUUUUUUUUUUUUUUGUUAUACUUUAAGUUCUAGGGUACAUGUGCACAACGUGCAGGUUUGUUACAUAUGUAUACAUGUGCCAUGUUGGUGUGCUGCACUCAUUAACUCGUCAUUUACAUUAGGUAUUUCUCUUAAUGCUAUCCCUCCCCACUCCCCUGACUCCAUGACAGGCCCCAGUGUGUGAUGUUCCCCACCCUGUAUCCAAGUGUUGUCAUUGUUCAAUUCCCACCUAUGAAUGAGAACAUGCAGUGUUUGCUUUCCUGUCCUUGCGAUAGUUUGCUCAGAAUGAUGGUUUCCAGCUUCAUCCAUGUCCCUACAAAGGACAUGAACUCAUUCUUUUUUAUGACUGCAUAGUAUUCCAUGGUAUGUAUGUGCCACAUUUUCUUAAUCCAGUCUAUCAUUGAUGGAUAUUUGGGUUGGUUCCAAGUCUUUGCUAUUGUGAAUAGUGCCACAAUAAACAUAUGUGUGCAUGCAUCUUUAUAGCAGCAUGAUUUAUAAUCCUUUGGGUAUAUACCCAGUAAAGGGAUGGCUGGGUCAAAUGGUAUUUCUAGUUCUAGAUCCUUGAGGAAUCGCCACACUGUCUUCCACAAUGGUUGAACUAGUUUACACUCCCACCAAUAGUGUAAAAGUUUUCCUAUUUCUCCACAUCCUCUCCAGCACCUGUUGUUUCCUGACUUUUUAAUGAUCGCCAUUCUAACUGGUGUGAGACGGUAUCUCAUUGUGGUUUUCUUUUGCAUUUCUCUGAUGGCCAGUGGUGAUGAGCAUUUUUUCAUGUGUCUGUUGACUGCAUAUAUGUCUUCUUUUGAGAAGUGUCUGUUCAUAUCCUUUGCCCACUUUUUGAUGGGGUUGUUUGAUUUUUUCUUGUUAAUUUUUUUAAGUUCUUUGUAGAUUCUGGAUAUUACCCCUUUGUCAGAUGGGUAGAUUGCAAACAUUUUCUCCCAUUCUGUAGGUUGCCUGUUCACUCUGAUGGUAGUUUCUUUUGCUGUGCAGAAGCUCUUUAGUUUAAUUAGAUCCCAUUUGUCAAUUUUGGCUUUUGUUGCCAUUGCUUUUGGUGUUUUAGACAUGAAGUCCUUGCCCAUGCCUAUGUCCUGAAUGGUAUUGCCUAGGUUUUCUUCUAGGGUUUUUAUGGUUUAAGUCUAACAUUUAAGUCUUUAAUCCAUCUUGAAUUAAUUUUUGUAUAAGGUGUAAGGAAGGGAUCCAGUUUCAGCUUUCUACAUAUGGCUAGCCAGUUUUCCCAGCACCAUUUAUUAAAUAGGGAAUCCUUUCCCCAUUUCUUGUUUUUGUCAGGUUUGUUAAAGAUCAGAUGGUUAUAGAUGUGUGGUAUUAUUUCUGAGGCGCUGUCCUGUUCCAUUGGUCUAUAUCUCUGUUUUGGUACCAGUACCAUGCGAUUUUGGUUACUGUAUCCUUGUAUUAUAGUUUGAAGUCAGGUAGCAUGAUGCCUCCAGCUUUGUUCUUUUUGCUUAGGAUUGUCUUGGCAAUGUGGGCUCUUUUUUGGUUCCAUAUGAACUUUAAAGUAGUUUUUUCCAGUUCUGUGAAGAAAAUCAUUGUUAGUUUGAUGGCGAUGGCACUGAAUCUAAAUUACCUUAGGCAGUAUGGCCAUUUUCAAGAUAUUGAUUCUUCCUACCCAUGAGCUUGGAAUGUUCUUCCAUUUGUUUGUGUCCUCUUUUAUUUCAUUGAGCAGUGCUUUGUAGUUCUCCUUGAAGAGGUCCUUCACAUCCCUUGUAAGUUGGAUUCCUAGGUAUUUUAUUCUCUUUGAAGCAAUUGUGAAUGGGAGUUUACUCAUGAUUUGGCUCUCUGUUUGUCUGCUAUUGGUGUAUAAGAAUGCUUGUGAUUUUUGCACAUUGAUUUUGCAUCCUGAGACUUUGCUGAAGUUGCUUAUCAGCUUAAGGAGAUUUUGGGCUGAGACAAUGGGGUUUUCUAGAUAUACAAUCAUGUCAUCUGCAAACAGGGACAAUUUGAUUUCCUCUUUCCCUAAUUGAAUACCCUUUAUUUCUUUCUUCUGCCUGAUUGCCCUGGCCAGAACUUCCAACACUAUGUUGAAUAGGAGUGGUAAGAGAGGGCAUCCCUGUCUUAUGCCAGUUUUCAAAGGGAAUGCUUCCAGGUUUCACCCAUUCAGUAUAUUGGCUCUGGGUUUGCCAUAAAUAGCUCUUAUUAUUUUGAGAUAUGUCCCAUCAAUACCUAGUUUAUUGAGAGUUUUUAGCGUGAAGGGCUGUUGAAUUUUGUAAAAGGCCUUUUCUGCAUCUAUUGAGAUAAUCAUGUAGUUUUUGUAUUUGCUUCUGUUUAUGUGAUGGAUUACGUUUAUUGAUUUGCGUAUGUUGAACCAGCCUUGCAUCUCAGGGAUGAAGCCCACUUGAUCAUGGUGGAUAAGUUUUUGAUGUGCUGCUGGAUUCGGUUUGCGAGUAUUUUAUUGAGGAUUUUUGCAUUGAUGUUCAUCAGGGAUAUUGGUCUAAAAUUCUCUUUUUUUGUUGUGACUCUGCCAGGCUUUGAUAUCAGGAUGAUGCUGGCCUCAUAAAAUGAGUUAGGGAGGAUUCCCUCUUUUUCUAUUGAUUGGAAUAGUUACAGAAGGAAUGGUACCAGUUCCUCCUUGUACUUCUGAUAGAAUUCGGCUGUGAAUCUGUCUGGUCCUGGACUUUUUUUGGUUAUAGGCUAUUAAUUAUUGCCUCAGUUUCAGAGCCUUUUAUUGGUCUAUACAGGGAUUCAACUUCUUCCUGGUUUAGUCUUGGGAGGGUGUAUGUGUCCAGGAAAGUAUCCAUUUCUUCUAGAUUUUCUAGUUUAUUUGCAUAGAGGUGUUUUUAGUAUUUUUUGAUGGUGGUUUGUAUUUCUGUGGGAUCAGUGGUGAUAACCCUUUUAUCAUUUUUUACUACGUCUAUUUGAUUCUUCUCUCUUUUCUUCUUUAUUAUUCUUGCUAGCGGUCUAUCAACUUUGUUGAUCUUUCAAAAAACCAGCUCUUGGAUUCAUUGAUUUUUUGAAGGGUUUUUUGUGUCUCUAUCUCCUUCAGUUCUGCUCUGCUCUUAGUUAUUUCUUGCCUUCUGCUAGCUUUUGAAUGUGUUUGCUCUUGUUUCUCUAGUUCUUUUAAUUGUGAUGUUAGGGUGUUGAUUUUAGAUCUUUCUUGCUUUCUCUUAUGGGCAUUUAGUGCUACAAAUUUCCCUCUACAUGCUCCUUUAAAUGUGUCCCAGAGAUUCUGGUAUGUUGUGUCUUUGUUCUCAUUGGUUUCAAAGAACAUCUUUAUUUCUGCCUUCGUUUUGUUAUUUACCCAGUAGUCAUUCAGGAGCAGGUUGUUCAGUUUCCAUGUAGUUGUGCUGUUCUGAGUGAGUUUCUUAAUCCUGAGUUCUAAUUUGAUUGCUCUGUGGUCUGAGAGACAUUUUGUUGUGAUUUCUUUUCUUUUACAUUUGCUGAGGAGUGCUUUAAUUCCAACUAUGUGGUCAAUUUUGGAAUAAGUGCUAUGUGGUGCUGAGAAGAAUGUAUAUUCUGUUGAUUUGGGGUGGAGAGUUCUGUAGAUGUCUAUCAGGUCUGCUUGGUGCAGAGCUGAGUUCAAGUCCUGGAUAUCCUUGUUAACUUUCUGUCUCCUUGAUCUAUCUAAUGUUGAUAGUGGGGUGUUAAAGUCUCCCAUUAUUAUUGUGUGGGAGUCUAAGUCUCUUUGUAGGUCCCUUAGGACUUGCUUUAUGAAUCUGGAUGCUCCUGUAUUGGGUGCAUAUAUAUUUAGGAUAGUUAGCUCUUCUUGUUGAAUUGAUCCCUUUAUAAUUAUGUAAUGGCCUAGAAGCCAAUUUUCAAUGAACACCAGUGCAUUAGAGGAGACGAUGGAAUAGUUGGAGAGCUUGGUGAUCCUUCUGGUGAUGCUAAAAGAGCAGGUCCUUACCUGAUGGUGCAGUUUGUUCCACUUUUAUGAUGAGAAAAGCUCAUGAUGACACAGUGCUGCUGAAAUAAUAGGAGCAUGGAUUUUAUUUUUGCAGAAUUAAUGGGAUAAUUUUCUUCAGAAUCAGAUCUCUAAAUAAUCAGUGUUAAAGAGAAUGCCAGUAACACAAUUUUUAACAUCUUUACUCUGGUGUAUGUGUCUUGUGGAGGCAUCUAGGGAUAUAGUUCCAAUUGUGCAGACUUGCAAAUGUCCCCCAUGGCAUGCUCUUUCAACGUCAAUAUCCAGGGAAACUCCCUGGGAUAAAAAUCUGAACAUGGCUCAACUUUAUUGUGAAAACAUAAAAUUGGUUAUCCAGGGCAACAAAGGAAAAUAAAUUCUAAUCCUUUCCCUCUCUGCCUGUCCUUGGAUGCCAUCAUAAAGGUGGACAUUGGCACCCUCCUCUUCCUGAACACAUCCGACGAUUCAUCCCUCACCCUAAGCAUCUCAUCACCCAAUCCAUGGAAGUCACCAUUGCAGCAGUGCUGCUGCAUCAUAGAACCCAGUCCCUGAGGACAAGCUUGGUGACUGCUGAGAUGGGGCCAGACCUUGGGGAAAGGUCUUCAGGUUUCCCCAGAUGGCUCAGAGACCGUGGGUGUACUCAGCCAGACUUUGCACAUAUGUAACUCUGCAGGAAAGUGGAGGCUCCCACAGGAAGGUGACGCUGGAUGCCAAUCUGUCACUAGAGCACAACAGAAUGAGUUUAAGAACAAUUGAGUUGAACACACACGUAUCAUCUCCACAGGUUCCCCAGAGGGCAUUUGAAGCAGGAAGCAAGAUGUUUAUUGCUAUGUAAAGCUCUGGGUUUCCUGGAUAAGAAAUCUGUUCCUGUAUUUCUUUAUUUAUGUCUGUACUUCAUAUAUACCCAUGGAGAAGAAGAAAAUAUUUUAGGCAGGAGCAUUGCUGAGCUGCAGGUUUGUAUUUGAAAGGAAAAUGUGUGGCAGUUAUUUAUUUUGGAGAUGUAAGGGCCAAAGGAGUGUGUGGCUCAUUGCAAAACUGAGCUGCAAGUUGAGGCCACUAUAUAAUUUUCCAAGAUCCCACAAGAAAUCACUGGUGAAUUUGAAAUGAGAGUCCUUAUUUCUUGACUCCUCGUUCCCUGUAUCUAUCAUAACAAGCCACCACAAAAUUCGGUGGCCUAAAACAACAGCAACCAUGUAUGCUUUGUUGUUGUUGUUUUGAGAUGGAGUCUCGCUCUGUCGCCCACGCUGGAGUGCAGUGGCGCGAUCUCGGCUCACUGCAAGCUCCGCCCCCUGGGGUUCACGCCAUUCUCUUGCCUCGGCCUCCCGAGUAGCUGGGACUAGGGGCGCCCACCACCACGCCCAGCUAAUUUUUUUGUAUUUUUUAGUAGAGACGGGCCAUCUAUGUUUUUAUGAACUACAGCUUGGGCUGGCGUGGACAGCUCAUGCCUGUUUCUUGUGGGGUCAGCUGUGUUGGCUCUGGGCCUGGGGAUGUACCUCCAAGAUGCUCGCCCAUGAAGCCAGCAGCUCCUGGGAGCUCAGGUGGGGCUUUCAUGGCUGACCUCAUUACUUCUUUACAUGGGUCUCUCCUCUGCGUUGCUCACAGCAUGGCAGCUGUGUUUUAAGACAGGAAGCGGAAGCUGGUUCCCCAAACCGGCAAGUGUCACUUCUGCCAUAUUCUACUGGUUUAGGAAUCACAACGCCUGCCAAGAUUCAAGAGGACACACAGGCUUCCCAGAACCUGAGGGAAGGCAGUCAGUUGGUUUGUGUCUAUCGUGGCCUGCCAUCCCUUCGGUAUGUUUCCCAAAUGCUACAUGGUGUCUUCAUUUCACACCAUGACUUUUAUCACAUUUUUAUAUGUUUUUCCUGCUUAAACAUCUCGAAUUUGUAUUCAACCAUUGCUUUUUAGAGUUAAACUAAAAGGUUAUGUAGCUGUUUACUUAUAAGUAACAAUUCUGAAGCCUAAUAGAGUGAGAUGAUGUCCAAAGUCAAAGACUGAGGUAGUAAUGAAAGCAUCUAGAAUCCAGACGUUCUGACGUCUUGUCUGGUCCCCUGUUCAUAACAGGGAGCUGACCACACUGAGCUGGACCUUUUACUACAUGAGUGCUUAGGGUCAAUAUUGUAGUAUGAGGCAGUCAUAGAAACACGUAUUUCAUCUGUAACAUAAAAUGCUUAAGAAGUUGUACUCCACAAUUUAAAAAAUUUGUAACACUUUUGAAAAACAAUAUCCACUGAAGAAAGAGAAUGAGCAAAGUAAUCUCAGACACUAUGUUAUAAUAUUCUUAGUAGAAUUUAAAAAAUAGGAAAAAUAAAAACCUGUCUUCUAGCUGAAGCUUCAUAAGACCCACCACCUCACGAAUACCUCUAUGCUGUCUUUGGUAAUUUUAAAAUUAUAUCUCACAUCAUCAAAAUAAAUAUUACUACAAUUGAUUUUCACAAAAUGGCAUUGGACAAUAAGAAAAAUAUGGACGAUGAUGAUGAUGAUGAUAACAGCUUUUAUUUGCUAUCAGAUUCGCAAAUUUGAAUGGGUUAACACAUUUACUUCUCACAAUAACCUUGUCAAGUGGGCUUUGGAGGCUGAGUUUCAGUGUGUUGUCCAAGGUCUGUAAAUUACAGAACUGGAAUUCUGUCCAUUCUGUCAAAUAUUUACUACACACCUCCUACUCCUACAGGCCUCUGCUCCAUGCUCUGGGUACAGCAUGGACCAGCAUGUGCUGGCUGUCUGAACUCACAUUGCUCAGGGCCUUGUGGGCUUUGAGGUUGAUUUUCCCUGAAUUUCUGUUGGCUUAUGCUAUGAUAGUUAAUUUCAUGGGUCAACUUGACUGGGCCACUGGGUGCCCAGAAAUCUGAUUAAACCUAAUCCUGGAUGUAUCUGUAAGGGUGUUUUCAGAUGAGAUGAGCAUUUGGUUAAGUGCACUGAAUAAAGCUGAUUGUCCUCCCCAGUGCAAGCAAGCCUUAUCCAAGGCUUCAGCAGGAGAAAUGGCUGAGCAAGAGAGAUCUUGCUCUCCCUGCGUUGUUGCCUUAGAGAGGGAAUAUCAGCCUUCUGCCUCUGGACUUGAACUCAGGCUGGAACUUACACCGUUGGCUCUUCUGGGUCGGGUUCCUCAGCCUCUGUAGUUGCAUGUGUCAAUUCCUUAUAAAAAUUCUCUUUUCUCCCCUCCUCUCUCUCUCACACACACACACACACUCUCUUACACACACACCCUAUUAAUUCUGUUUCUCUGAAUUACUCUUACACAUACACCAAACUUUUGUGAUCUAUGUAGUGCAUCACAAAUUAAAAUGCAUUGAGGGGCAAGGCAGUAACUUGUAAAUGUGUAAGGCAGCCAAGUGUUGUGAGGGAGAGUGGUCUAUUUGUGAAGUGGGAACACAUCUCCACUUGAAGAUCCCACAUCACUGUCGUUGUUCUGAAUGCAGCAUGGUCUGAAUGACCCAGGACUGUAAGCGCUGUUUCCUGACUUAGAACAACACGGGGAUGCCCUGCCUAGGCCUUGCGCUGUGUUUAGACUUGGCCUUGGUGUGUUCCUUGCAUCAUGUGUCAGUUCAUGUGGAAAUGCACAAUCUAUGGGAGGCCCUCAAAUUUUACUGCCCAGUCGUGCUCUUGACCAUUUGGCUAAACAUGGUGAGAUCUGUUUUCAUUUUGAAAAAUGCUGUCAGAAUCUACUUGAAAGAAGAAAGUAAUACUCGCUUUCUCUCUGUGUCUUGACAUCAGUAAUAGACAAGCUCCAUCCUGAAGUAUUUGCAGCUGAUGGCAGGAAAUCUUUACAUCUUGAUCUGGACCAUGCAGUGAGUGGUGUAUUUCUCAGUGUGUGAGAAACACACACACGCAUAUAUAAAAUCUAUACGUAUAAUAUAUAUAUAAAGGUAUUUUUUGAUGAUUGUUUUUAUUGAAUUUAACAUUUUCAUAAUCUUUUUAUGUCCAAAUUUAAAACAUUUGUGGGGUGGGGGGAGGGGGGAGGGAUAGUAUUAGGAGAUAUACCUAACUCUAAAUGACGAGUUAAUGGGUGCAGCACACCAGCAUGGCACAUGCACCAGAAUAACAAAGCUGUUCUUAUUUUCUGUAUUCCUAGUUUGUAUUUUUAUUUGUAAUUUAUUGAAAUAGAACCCCCAAUACUACUCUCUUAUUAGAGGAAUAUCAAGUUGAGAGCACAAACAGUCCCCCACAUUAAUAUGACUUCUGGGGACUGCCAAGCCUUCUAUGGUCUGUCAUCUGCUCAAAUUUCAAGCACCAUCUCUUUUUAUUUAUUAAUUUUAUUUUAUAUUUCGGGGUACAGGCACAGGGUGUGCAGAUUUGUUACAUAAAUAAACUUGUGCCAUGGUAGUUUGCUGCACAGAUCAACCCAUCACCUAGGUAUUAAGCCCAGCAUACAUUAGCUAUUAUUCCUGAUGCUCUCCCUCCCCCAAACUCCCUUUUCACCGCUGACAGGUGCCAGAGUGUGUUGUUCCCAUUUCUGUGUCUAUGUGUUCACAUUGCUUAGCUCUCACUUAUAAGUGAGAACACGCAGUGUUCAGUUUUCUAUUCCUUUGUUAGUGUGCUGAGGAUAAUGGCUUCUAGCUCCAUCCAGGUCCCUGCAAAGGAUAUGAUCUUGAAAGAAAACCACGCACAGCUAAUGCGUUUUGCCAACCAAACUCUACUGGUCAUUAAGGAAUGAACAGAGAAAAAAAGAGAGAGUCCCAGAGGGUGGCUCUUGUGAAGGCUAACCUGAACUCUCUAGUUAGGUCUGGGCUGUACCCACAGGUUGUAUCAGACAGUGCACAUUUGAUUUUGUAGUAACACUUCAUGUUGGAACAACAUUUCCCAUUUUACAAAGCUUUUUAUUUAUUUUCUUUUUUAACUUCCGCAACCACUCUAUCGGGCCUAUGUAUAUUUAGCUAUAGAUUAUUAACUAUUUAUUAUGUCAUGCAAUUAACAUGUAGUUAAGUAAGUUAAAUGAACAUUUUAUGCAUAUAUGAGUAAUUUUUAUUACUUUCCACCUGUAAGUCAGUGAAAAGGCUCCGAGAGGCAGAAUCAUGAUAUCGAAUAGUGUAUGAAUGGCAGAGCUGGAACUUAAGCCUGCGUUUUCUAAGUCUAGGGUUCUUUUCUUGAUGCCCAAACUGCCACUGGAGUCACAGAGCUGCUGACUGACCAAAAUGGGAAAGAUGUGAUAACCCCUAGAUUACUUUAAGGAACCUGGACCAUUUAAACUCUUUUGCCUGUAUCAAUCAAGUUAAUGUCAAACUGACCACAGAUCUGCUUCUCUCUACCCUGUUAAGCUAGAGUCUAAAUCAAUAAGCACAUCAUUCAGAUGCCGCAUGCAUUCAUUCACUCAUUUAUUCAUUUAUUCAGCAAGUGAUUACCCACUAUCUCUGUGGCUCCACGAUGCUCCCUGGGAAUAGAACAGUGCAAAUGUUAGUAUGAGUCCCACCCUCACAGAGGGAAAGGGACUAGCCGUGGUUUAGGAAUUAGAAGCCAAUGUAGAAAAUGAUAGAAGGACGGUAAGGGAGCUGUGGGUGCUCCGAGGAGAGGCACGGAACACAACCUGGAGGAGUCAGAGAAAUCCUGGAUGACAUUUCUAAGUGCAGUCCUCUUGGGUAAGCAAGAAUUAGCAAGGCAAAAUUGAAGCAUGAAGGUUUGGAGAGAAAAAAAUAAUGUUGCUGGCAGAAUGACUGGUACAUGUGAAGGAUCAGUUGCCUCAUCCAGUCUGAGUUUUCAACGCUCCUAUGAGAAUGCUUCCUGACAGAGAAAGCCUCACCCUCAGCAGCCAUCCCUGCUUUAUUUGUGUGGAUGGCGAGGCUCAGGGAAGCAAAGUAAUUAUUCCCUUCUGGAAAAUAGCAAUCACGCUUAACACUUAGUUCUAGCCUCUCUAUGCAUUUCUUUUUUCUUUUCACAGUACUAUGCUACUGUUAACCAUGGUUUACAUCAGAAUUUCCCAAACCACAGUUUGUCUUCAAAUAAGAAUAAAAUAAUAGCUAUUGCUGUGGCCAAUUAGACUAGAUCUUAAAAUUAUAAAAUGAGUCCGGAUAAUUUGUUCAAUGAAUUCUAACCAUGAAGAUUGGCUACGCAAUCAUACUUUUUCAGUGAUUUUGGGGUCAUGAAGUCCGGAAAUGAAACCCAGUUUGUGUGAGCAAGACAUAAUUAUGCAUUUCCAGUCCAGUAAUCCUAAACAUAUACAAAUUUCACCAUUUCAAAUUCAUCAGCACCCUCAUCUCCAGAUGAAUGGACAGAGGAAAAGAAAAUGGACAGGACAAGGCUUUUAGGCUGCUUUGGGAACUAUGUUUUUGUGUUUGGGGAGGUAGAGCGAUUCAGGACUAUCUUCUUUCCUCUUUAUUUCUCUACCUUCACUAGGAGGUGCUCCAUGUUCGCUAGGAGGUUCUCCAAAGAUCCAAAUCACCUAAGCAUGCACACCUUUCCCUUAAGAGACAACAUAUGUUCUAAUGACCAAGCCUUACAAGUAAGUAAUUUAGCGAGAUAGAGAGUAAUGUCAUUGUCAAUCCUGUGGCCUGGCAUAUUGGUCAUCUUUAAUGACUCACUGAAUCCUUGCCCCUACAGAAUGUUUGUUUGCUGCUUUGUGAAAACCCUUGUCUUUACAUUUCUGUGUCUGCAUCCAUAAACUGUCAUCAUUAUUCCACCUCUCUGAGCCAUUCACUAACUCACAGAUGGAGAAUGAGAAGCAUUGCACGUAUUGGUAUAUUGAUAUUGGGCACUUUUGUGUCUGGUCCAUGUGCAUGUGUUCUGCCUGGCACACUGAUGCACACACCUGGUCUCACUUUCUGCCUUCAUGAUUUUCUAGAUUUAGGACAGAUAUUAUUUAUUUUUGCUGCCCCACUCACAUUCAUUCAAACUUCUUUUACUAAAGCAAUACUGUGAUGCCUGUAAUCUCAGCACUUUGGGAGGCCAAAGCAGGCAGAUCACGAGGUCAAGAGAUUGAGACCAUCCUGGCCAACAUGGUGAAACCCUGUCUCUACUAAAAAUCCAAAAAUUAGCUGGGUGUGGUGGUGUGCACCUGUAGUUCCAGCUACUCGGGAGGCUGAGGCAGGAGAAUUGCUUGAACCUGGGAGGUGGAGGUUGUAGUGAGCCGAGAUCGUGUCACUGCACUCCAGCCUGGUGACGGAGCGAGACUCUGUCUCAAGAAAAAAAACAAAAAACAAAAACAAACAAACAAAAUACUGCGAUUUAUUUAUUUAUUUAUUUUGUGGGGUGGGAAGGACUCACUUUUUCAAGGCUCUUCACCCAUGAGGUUUGGAUGGAAUUGACUUCACCUCCAGCCACUGUGGUGGACUCUAAUUGGCCCAAUUAGAAUAAUGCAUCCCCCUUACUUGGCUCAGAGCCAGCAAGAUAUAAAAAGGCUAUUGUUAGGUCUUUGUGAAACACGCAGGUAUAAUUGCUACUGUACUUGUAGCUGGAAGAAGUGUCAUGUUGGAACUGAUGCUGCCAUCUUGCUGCAACACAUGAUUUGAGGAUGAAGCCAACCUGACACUUAGAGAACAGACCCAAGAAAGAGAGUGAGAAAAGCAGAGUCCAGUAAAAUCAACUGAGUUUUUGAACCCAAUCCUACCCCUGGUAUUAGUUUUCCUAUUUCAGAAAUAUUUCCUUAUUAAUUAAACCAAUUUGGGUUGUGUUUUUGGCCAGGAAAACUGAGGAAACCAUAGGGAAUAUGCAAAUCUUCUAUAUUCAUGGCAAUCUUAAAGGCUACCACACUAGCUGGACUGUGCACAUGCCCAGAACAGAUCCAAGAAGACCUUGAUCUCUUACCUCAAACUGACUGUGUCAGCAGGCAGAGAAGGCUAAGGCACGAUUUUAAAGUAUCUGCUGGGGCAUUGAAAGCAUACCUCAGUAUACAUAGAGCCCUUUCACAAAAGCUGGGAGAUGUAUUGGUUCAAGGCCUUUAAAGAAAUCUCUGUUAAUUGAGAAUUGACAGAACUAGUUUAAAACAUUACUAAUUAAAUAGCCACAAUAUCAACCAAAGGCAACAAUAACAAACCAUGUAGGAGUGUAUUUGUAGUUUUCAAUGAAAAUUGUGAAACAUGCAAAAAACCAUACACAAAAAAGUAUGGUACGUAAAUAGAGGAAAAACAGUUAAUGAAAACUUUCUUUGAGGAAGUCUAGAUGUUGGAAUUAACAGACAAAACCUUUAAAUUAGCUAUCAUAAAAAUGUUCCAAAAGCUAAAGGAAACUGUAUCUAAAGAAUUAAAAGAAAGUUAAAAAAAAGGAUGAUGUCUCCUCAGAUAAAGAAUAUCAAUAAAGAGAUAGAAAUCACAAAAAAGAACCAAAUAGAAAAUAUGGAAAGGAAAUGAAAUACCUAAAAAGAAAAUUACUAGAGGGGCUGAAUGGCACUUUGGAAGUGGUAGAAAAAUAGAAUCAUCAAAGAAGUGUGAGUUGAGAUUUUGUAAUAUGAGACCCAGAAAGAGAAAGGAAAAUAAAGUAAUAAAAAAACUGAUGUUCAGAGCUGUGAGAUACAAUCAAUCACAUCAAAAUAUAUAUGAUGAAAGUACCAGAAAAAGAGAAGUUCAGAAAUAAUAUUCAAAGAUAUAAUGGCUGAAAAUUGUUUUCAAUUUCAUGACAAAGAGUAAUCUGUACAUCUGAGAAGCACAACAAACUGAAAGUAGAGUAAGGGAAAAAAAGCUGACUGUUAGGCACACAUUGUGUACAAGAGAUCCUCAAUAAGACUAACAGAUGACUUCUCAUCAGAAACCAUGGAGCCCAGCAAGCAGUAAAGUGGAAUUUCUAGGACAAUAAUAAUGCAAAGAAGGGAGAAGAAAUGGAGCUAUAUUGGAGCAAUGAUUUUGUGUACCAGUGAAUUGUUUGUAUUAAUAUGAACUAGACAGUUUUAACUGAAAAUGUUAAUUAUAAUCUCCAGGACAAUUACUGGGAAAACACACACACACAAACACACACACAAAUAUAGUAAAUGAAAUAAAAAAGGAAAUUAAAUGGUACACUAGAGAAUAUCUUUUAAACAAAAAAGAAGUCAGUAAUGGAGGAAUGCAGAAGCAAAUAACAAAGGGGCAGACACAAAUCUUACCUUAUCAGUAAUUACAUUAAAUGUAAAAUUACUAAACAUGACAAUCAUGUUUAGUAGCAGCAAUUGAUGGAAUGGGUAAAAAAAAAUCACCUGCCUUUAGUGUAUCUACAAAAGAUGCAUUUACACUCAAAGAUACAAAUAGUAUCUUAUAAUAGUUAGAAAGUAAAUGGAUGGAAAAAGUUAUCUUAUUCAAAUAAUAACCAAAGGGGAUCUAGAGAGCCUACAUUAAUAUUAGACAAUAUUACUCUAAGCAAAUUUUUUUGGAGGAGACAAAGAAGAACAGUUUAUAAUGAUAAGAGGUUUAAUUCAUCAGAAUAACAUUGCAAGUGUAAACGUAUGCAACUAGCAUGUGAACCCCAAAAUGCAUGCAGCAAAACUGACUAAACUGAAGGAAGAAAUAGAAACAUCAACAAUGAUAGUUAGAAACGUUAAUACCCCAUUUUCAAUAAUAAAUAAAUAAAACU